rnacentral:lncRNA from 1 species
GGGAAAAGACGGUAGGAUAUGUACAUCUCUGCACGUAACUGAGUAAAUCAGAAAGUGGUGGGAGCAAUGGUUAUUCGUUGAGGGCACCUAUUUUGCCAUCAGUCCCAGUUGUGGGUUCCUGGACUCUGAAUGAGGUGACUCCUGUUCCUGUCCUGCCUCUGAUCCCAUCUGGGAUAUUCCCCAAAUCUCCUCCUACCUCAGUUUCCCUCUGUUGUCAGACAGAUAAAUAUUGUUUCCUCCCUUUGUAAAGCUCCCCAUGAAAUGCUGCUAAGACAGAGCAAGGUGUGGUGUUUUUAUGGCUGCUCUUUGCCUUGGGUUUGCAGAGGAAGCCUGCUCUCACCCCAAGGCACGGUGACCUGCCAGCACCAGCAGGAGGGAGCAGCCCCAGGACUCCCUGCAGAGGUAGCACUUUGAAGCAAAGGGUGUUGCAAGUGCAUAAAUCCCUUCCUACUAUGUGCUUCCUUGCCCUGGUGGCAUUUAUGGCUUGUUGCUGUGUUUUAGGAGCAUUAGGGAAAAUACAGAUAGUCUGGCAUUUUAUUACUCAUAUUUCUCUGCUCUUAAUGACUGAAUGGAGCACGACUUGCUAAUGAACUAGGCUGAAAUGAAUGCAUUUGUGGCACUAAUUGAAAUAAACCCAAGGUCUGGCUUUUCAAAAGGAGUAAAACCUCUAGCACUCUCAAAAAAAGAAAAGAAAAGAAAAGAAAAGAAAAGAAAAGAAAAGAAAAGAAAAGCCUCUUUUACUGUCUUUAACCCCUGCUUGUUGUCUUUCAGUACAGCUGCAUUUGGAUGCAACAGAGCAAGGCAGAUUCUGCUUGCGGGAACUAGGGAUUCAUGGUGCAGGAUGCUGGGGACUGGGCUUGGUGUUGCUCCCUUCCUCAUCUAUAAAAGCAGCUCAUUAGGGGCAGUAGGGUUCUCAGGUAGCAGAGGGUUAUGUGGAGAUGGCCUGGGAGCACAUGGAUGGAGGGUGAAACUGGUGCUCCUGAAAAUAAAAUAA